rnacentral:rRNA from 1 species
AACGCUAGCGACAGGCCGUAACACAUGCAAGUCGAGGGGCGAGCGCGGGAGAAGCUUGCGUUUCCUGGCGGCGACCGGCGGCACGGGUGCGUAACAGGUGUGCAAUCUGUCCAUAGUCGGGGAAUAGCCCAGCGAAAGUUGGAUUAAUGCUCCAUGUGAAUCGAGACCGCAUGAUUUUGAUUUGAACGUAAGGACUAUGGGUGAGCACGCUUCUGAUUAGAUAGUUGGUGAGGUAACGGCUCACCAAGUCGACGAUCAGUAGGGGUUCUGAGAGGAAGGUCCCCCACAUUGGAACUGAGACACGGUCCAAACUCCUACGGGAGGCAGCAGUGAGGAAUAUUGGUCAAUGGGCGAGAGCCUGAACCAGCCAAGUCGCGUGAAGGAUGAAGGUUCUAUGGAUUGUAAACUUCUUUUGUCCGAGGGUAAAAAAGGUCACGUGUGACUUCUUGCAAGUAUCGGACGAAUAAGCAUCGGCUAACUCCGUGCC